rnacentral:siRNA from 1 species
AAGCUUGGAACUGCAGAUGUCCAC